AUGACUAUAGCUGCAGUGAGCACAUGGUUCAAAACACCAUUAGUAGAUUUUCUUCUAGGGCUGGUGAAUUUCCCAGUAUCAAAUGGAGAAAUUCUUCUGAGCCAGUCUCCAGAGUCCUUGGAUGUUUCUCAAGGGGAAAGGGUCACUAUCACCUGCAGGGCCAGCUCAAGUGGCAUCCCUGAUAACUUCCACUGGUACCAGCAGAAGCCAGGAUCUUCCCCUAAGCUCCUGGUUUAUGGCACAUCCAACCUGGCUCCUGAAGUCCCAGAUCGCUUCAGUGGCAGUGAAUCUGGAACCUCCUACUAUCUCAAAAUCAGCAGUAUGCAGGCUGAAGAUGCGGCCACUUACUACUGUCAGCAGAAGAGCAGUGUCCCAUUCACACAGUUCUAG